rnacentral:rRNA from 1 species
GAUGAACGCUAGCGGCAGGCCUAACACAUGCAAGUCGAGGGAGGAGCCUUCGGGCUUCGACCGGCGUACGGGUGCGUAACGCGUAUACAAUCUGCCUUUCACAUAGGGAUAGCCCGAAGAAAUUUGGAUUAAUACCUAAUGGUAUAUAGAUGUGGCAUCACCUUUAUAUUAAAGCUGAGGCGGUGAAAGAUGAGUAUGCGUUCUAUUAGCUAGUUGGAGAGGUAACGGCUCCCCAAGGCGACGAUAGAUAGGGGUUCUGAGAGGGAUAUCCCCCACACUGGUACUGAGAUACGGACCGGACUCCUACGGGAGGCAGCAGUGAGGAAUAUUGGACAAUGGUCGGAAGACUGAUCCAGCCAUGCCGCGUGCAGGAAGACGGCCUUAUGGGUUGUAAACUGCUUUUGCAGGGGAAGAAUAAGGACUACGCGUAGUUUGAUGACGGUACUCUGCGAAUAAGCAUCGGCUAACUCCGUG